rnacentral:rRNA from 1 species
AGAGUUUGAUCCUGGCUCAGGACGAACGCUGGCGGUGUGCUUCACACAUGCAAGUCGAGCGAAUGAAGUAGGUAGCUUGCUACUUAUGGAUUUAGCGGCGGACGGGUGAGUAAUAUAUAGGAAUCUGCCCUAGAGCGGGGAACAACAGACCGAAAGGUUUGCUAAUGCCCCAUAGGUACGCAGUCUUCGGAUUGUUUAUUAAAGGAGUAAUCCACUCUAGGAUGAGCCUGUAUCCGAUUAGCUAGUUGGCGGGGUAAAGGCCCACCAAGGCUACGAUCGGUAGUUGGUCUGAGAGGAUGAUCAGCCACAAUGGGACUGAGACACGGCCCAUACUCCUACGGGAGGCAGCAGUGGGGAAUUUUACACAAUGGGGGAAACCCUGAUGUAGCGACACCGCGUGAACGAAGAAGCCUUUUGGGGUGUAAAGUUCUGUCGGCUGGAACGAAAAAAAUGACGGUACCAGCAAAGGAAGCAUCGGCUAACUACGUGCCAGCAGCCGCGGUAAGACGUAGGAUGCAAGCGUUGUCCGGAUUUAUUGGGCGUAAAGAGUUCGUAGGCGGUUAUUUAAGUCUGAUGUUAAAUACUGUGGCCCAACCACAGAACUGCAUUGGAUACUGGAUGACUUGAGUGCGGUAGAGGCAAGUGGAAUUCCCAGUGUAGCGGUGAAAUGCGUA